GACGAACGCUGGCGGCGUGCUUAACACAUGCAAGUCGAACGGUGAUGGUGGAGCUUGCUUCACUUGAUCAGUGGCGAACGGGUGAGUAACACGUGAGUAACCUGCCCCAGACUCUGGAAUAACCUCGGGAAACCGUGGCUAAUACUGGAUACGAGACGGAUCCGCAUGGGUGCCGUUUGGAAAGUUUUUCGGUCUGGGAUGGACUCGCGGCCUAUCAGCUUGUUGGUGAGGUAAUGGCUCACCAAGGCGACGACGGGUAGCCGGCCUGAGAGGGCGACCGGCCACACUGGGACUGAGACACGGCCCAGACUCCUACGGGAGGCAGCAGUGGGGAAUAUUGCACAAUGGGCGAAAGCCUGAUGCAGCGACGCCGCGUGAGGGAUGACGGCCUUCGGGUUGUAAACCUCUUUCAGCAGGGAAGAAGCGAAAGUGACGGUACCUGCAGAAGAAGCACCGGCUAACUACGUGCCAGCAGCCGCGGUAAAAC
rnacentral:rRNA from 1 species